rnacentral:snoRNA from 1 species
CCUCUAGAUGACGACGAACAGAUCUCCUACAUCAUCGCCGGGAUGGGUAUGGAGUACCAGCCACUGGUGUCAGCCCUCGACGCCCGCACCGACCUGUCACGCUCGAUGAUCUGUUCGCUCAGAUGAGCAACUUUGAUC